rnacentral:rRNA from 1 species
UAGCUAGUUGGUGGGGUAAGGGCCUACCAAGGCGACGAUCGGUAGCUGGUCUGAGAGGAUGACCAGCCACACUGGAACUGAGACACGGUCCAGACUCCUACGGGAGGCAGCAGUGGGGAAUAUUGGACAAUGGGGGGAACCCUGAUCCAGCAAUGCCGCGUGUGUGAAGAAGGCCUGAGGGUUGUAAAGCACUUUCAGUAGGGAGGAGAGUAAUUAGGUUAAGAGCUAGAUUACUGGACGUUACCUACAGAAGAAGCACCGGCUAACUCCGUGCCAGCAGCCGCGGUAAUACGGAGGGUGCGAGCGUUAAUCGGAAUUACUGGGCGUAAAGGGUGCGUAGGUGGUUAAUUAAGUUAUGUGUAAAAUCCCUGGGCUCAACCUGGGCAGGUCAUAUAAUACUGAUUGACUCGAGUAUGGGAGAGGGUAGUGGAAUUUCCGGUGUAGCGGUGAAAUGCGUAGAGAUCGGAAGGAACACCAGUGGCGAAGGCGGCUACCUGGCCUAAUACUGACACUGAGGCACGAAAGCGUGGGGAGCAAACAGGAUUAGAUACCCUGGUAGUCCACGCUGUAAACGAUGUCAACUAGCUGUUGGUUAUAUGAAAAUAAUUAGUGGCGC